CAAGAGCGUAUGUAAAAGUUGUUGCAGUUAAAAAGCUCGUAGUCGAACCUUGGGUUUGGUUGGCCGGUCCGCUUUUUUGCGAGUACUGGAUUCAACCGAGCCUUUCCUUCUGGCUAACCAGUCGUUUCGGCGGCUGGCGAACCAGGAUUUUUACUUUGAGAAAAUUAGAGUGUUCAAAGCAGGCAUUAGCUUGAAUAUAUUAGCAUGGAAUAAUAGAAUAGGACGUUAUGGUUCUAUUUUGUUGGUUUCUAGGACCAUCGUAAUGAUUAAUAGGGACGGUCGGGGGCAUCAGUAUUCAGUUGUCAGAGGUGAAAUUCUUGGAUUUACUGAAGACUAACUACUGCGAAAGCAUUUGCCAAGGACGUUUUCAUUAA
rnacentral:rRNA from 1 species